GCCUUGCCCACAACGCUGAAGGAGAACCGCCGGGAAGAGGGGCGGCCCUGAGGGCUCCCCAAAGCCUUCCUCAGCCAGAUGAGCUUCAGUGCUGCACUACUUCACCUCCGAACGCCAGAGCGAGAACAGAGCAGCAACACCAUGAGAGCCGCUCAGUAGCCGGCGGGCAGCACAGAGGAAGAGACAGACUGACAGAAACACACGAGGAAUCGACACCGAGAUGGGGGAGGGAGACCCCAACCCUUCAGAGGGCUGAGGGAGAGUCGGCUCAGGGGAGGGCACUGUCCACUUACCGCGGUCCGCCGGGAUCCCUCGGCGCGUAGGAUCCCCGCCCGACCGCCCCCACCGGGUGUUCAAGGAGCAGGCUGAGGGGGGCGGUGGAGGCCGCCAGCGCAACUCACCGGGGGAGCCGCCGGGGCUGUGUCUCCAGCCGGCCGCCUGAGGAAAGCAGGGCAGGAGAGAGAAACACCGCCGGGCUCGGCGCUCCGCCGCCGGUAGCUGCCGCGCCCCCUGGCGGGCCGCCGCGGGCAGGGCGGCCCCGAGAGGGGAGAGGGGCGUCUCGUAAAGGAGCGGGCUUUCCUUUAGGCGGUUUGGUGAGGCACGGUGACCGUGUGAGGCAGGCAUUCUCUGCCGAGUCGUGCCCGUCUGCCGCGGGCCCCAGCAGCGGCAUGACCGCUUUGGCGCCCUCGAAGGGUGCGGGCUAGGAGAGGAGCCCGCGGGACAGCAGGGGCAGCCGCGGCAGCGGACGUGGCCGCAGGGCUGACCCGGCACCCCUUGAUCCGGAAAGAGGUGAAAAAGCUGCUUCACUGCGCGGAUGCAGCCAAGCUGUGUUACUCCAUGAGAAGAGAAAGCUUCAAGGACAUGUGGACAAAUACAGUGAUUGCCUGACUUGGAUUCAACAAUACUAUUUUGACAUGAACAUGUUGCCUGUGGGCAUCCUACAAUGCAAACACUCCAAAGCUGCCUUCCCCCAGGCUGAUUAGGGAGUAUCUCAAAGGGGAAGCUUCCAAAGCAGAGCACACCCUUCCUCUGCAUUAUCUGAGUGGAUGUAGUUCAUGUGUGAGAAUUCUCAAAGUUUCAGCACUACAUGGAUUCUGCUUCCAGGGAGGUCAAGGAACUGCAGAUAAGGAAGCCAUGUUUAGCACUUCUAAAAAUCCCACAGAAUAAACACCUGAUAUAUUGUAUUACCAGCA